GAUGGUGGCGACCGGCGCACGGGUGCGUAACGCGUAUGCAACCUACCCGUAACUGGGGGAUAAUCCGGAGAAAUUUGGUCUAAUACCCCAUAACACAUUGAAUGGCAUCAUUUAAUGUUGAAAAUUCCGAUGGUUACGGAUGAGCAUGCGUUGUAUUAGCUAGUUGGUGAGGUAACGGCUCACCAAGGCUACGAUACAUAGGGGAACUGAGAGGUUAAUCCCCCACACUGGUACUGAGACACGGACCAGACUCCUACGGGAGGCAGCAGUGAGGAAUAUUGGUCAAUGGACGCAAGUCUGAACCAGCCAUGCCGCGUGCAGGAUGACGGCUCUAUGAGUUGUAAACUGCUUUUAUGCGAGGGUAAACGCAGGUACGUGUACCUGUCUGAAAGUAUCGCAAGAAUAAGGAUCGGCUAACUCCGUGCCAGCAGCCGCGGUAAUACGGAGGAUCCGAGCGUUAUCCGGAUUUAUUGGGUUUAAAGGGUGCGUAGGCGGCCUGGUAAGUUAGAGGUGAAAUCCCAUCGCUCAACGAUGGACGUGCCUCUGAUACUGUUGGGCUAGCGAGAGAGUGCUGUGGGCGGAAUGUGUAGUGUAGCGGUGAAAUGCUUAGAGAUUACACAGAACACCGAUUGCGAAAGCAGCUCACAAACUCUUUUCGGACGCUGAGGCACGAAAGCGUGGGGAGCAAACAGGAUUAGAU
rnacentral:rRNA from 1 species